rnacentral:rRNA from 1 species
AGAAUCAACGCUGGCGGCGUGCCUAACACAUGCAAGUCGAACGAGAAAGUGGAGCAAUCCAUGAGUAAAGUGGCGACCGGGUGAGUAACACGUGACUAACCUACCCUUUAGUGGGGAAUAACUCCGGGAAACCGGGGCUAAUACCGCAUAACAUCGCAAGAUCAAAGCAGCAAUGCGCUGGAGGAGGGGGUCGCGGCUGAUUAGCUAGUUGGCGGGGUAACGGCCCACCAAGGCGAAGAUCGGUAUCCGGCCUGAGAGGGCGCACGGACACACUGGAACUGAAACACGGUCCAGACUCCUACGGGAGGCAGCAGUGGGGAAUUUGCGCAAUGGGGGAAACCCUGACGCAGCAACGCCGCGUGGAGGAUGAAGCCCCUUGGGGCGUAAACUCCUUUCGACCAAGACGAUAAUGACGGUACUGGUGGAAGAAGCACCGGCUAACUCUGCGCCAGCAGCCGC